rnacentral:rRNA from 1 species
UAGAGUUUGAUUCCCCUGCUCAGAGUGAACGCUGGCGGCGUGCCUAAUACAUGCAAGUCGAACGAUGAAGCCUAGCUUGCUAGGUGGAUUAGUGGCGCACGGGUGAGUAAUGCAUAGAUAACAUGCCCUUUAGUUUGGAAUAGCCACUAGAAAUGGUGAUUAAUACCAAAUACUACCUUACGAGGGAAAGAUUUAUCGCUAAAGGAUUGGUCUAUGUCCUAUCAGCUUGUUGGUGAGGUAAAGGCUCACCAAGGCUAUGACGGGUAUCCGGCCUGAGAGGGUGAACGGACACACUGGAACUGAGACACGGUCCAGACUCCUACGGGAGGCAGCAGUAGGGAAUAUUGCUCAAUGGGGGAAACCCUGAAGCAGCAACGCCGCGUGGAGGAUGAAGGUUUUAGGAUUGUAAACUCCUUUUGUUAGAGAAGAUAAUGACGGUAUCUAACGAAUAAGCACCGGCUAACUCCGUGCCAGCAGCCGCGGUAAUACGGAGGGUGCAAGCGUUACUCGGAAUCACUGGGCGUAAAGAGUGCGUAGGCGGGAGGACAAGUCAGGUGUGAAAUCCUAUGGCUUAACCAUAGAACUGCAUUUGAAACUAUCCUUCUGGAGUGUGGGAGAGGUAGGUGGAAUUCUUGGUGUAGGGGUAAAAUCCGUAGAGAUCAAGAGGAAUACUCAUUGCGAAGGCGACCUGCUGGAACAUCACUGACGCUGAUUGCACGAAAGCGUGGGGAGCAAACAGGAUUAGAUACCCUGGUAGUCCACGCCCUAAACGAUGGAUGCUAGUUGUUGGGAGGCUUUGUCUUUCCAGUAAUGCAGCUAACGCCUUAAGCAUCCCGCCUGGGGAGUACGGUCGCAAGAUUAAAACUCAAAGGAAUAGACGGGGACCCGCACAAGCGGUGGAGCAUGUGGUUUAAUUCGAAGAUACACGAAGAACCUUACCUAGGCUUGACAUUGAAGGAAUUCCCUAGAAAUAGGGGAGUGUCUAGCUUGCUAGACCCUGAAAACAGGUGCUGCACGGCUGUCGUCAGCUCGUGUCGUGAGAUGUUGGGUUAAGUCCCGCAACGAGCGCAACCCUUUUUCUUAGUUGCUAACAGGUUAUGCUGCGCACUCUAAGAAGACUGCCUGCGUAAGCAGGAGGAAGGUGAGGACGACGUCAAGUCAUCAUGGCCCUUACGCCUAGGGCUACACACGUGCUACAAUGGGGUGCACAAAGAGAUGCAAAGCCGCGAGGCAGAGCUAAUCUAUAAAACACCUCCUAGUUCGGAUUGCAGGCUGCAACUCGCCUGCAUGAAGCUGGAAUCGCUAGUAAUCGCAAAUCAGCUAUGUUGCGGUGAAUACGUUCCCGGGUCUUGUACUCACCGCCCGUCACACCAUGGGAGUUGUGUUUGCCUUAAGUCAGGAUGCUAAAGCAGCUACUGCCCACGGCACACACAGCGACUGGGGUGAAGUCGUAACAAGGGUAGCCGUA